ensembl:lncRNA
GGUGAAGAUAGAGGCUUGGACGGAGCUUUAAGUGACUUGAGGGACACAGAGAUGGGUUCCUGGAAAGGAAAAUAAUGGAAAAGCCCACAGAUUUAAAGCACACAGGGUGGAGUCUGAUUGGCUCAAAGAAGGCGGACACCCCAAAUCAGAAAACAUUCACUGCUGUGGGGUCAAAGCCUACAACAUUAAAGAUCCACAGAUGAAGUGCUGUGCAGGAACACUGUACACGCUGACAUCAUUACAUAAGCAUGGAGGGGACCUGCAGUGCUGCGGAUCCACUCUGCAAGAGCCACAGGACAUUUGCUGCUCAAGUGAGGAGGAAGAGGUGAUCUACUCUGCCAAGACAGGGUUUAGAUGCUGUGGUCACCUCUAUUACAACACCACCCUGUGGUCAUGCUGUGCUGGGAGGCUGAGAUCAAUCCAUGAACCAGGACAGGGUCAAAGAAAGAUGAUUAAUGAAUCCAGAGUCCUAUCUGUGAAUAACCUGAACAAAACAGAUCUUUGCCAAAAAAUGCACAUUGGGACUGUGGAAAGUGUGUCUCAGCAGAGCGUUGUGUUUGGGAAUGUGCUGACGGUUCAUGGUAUGGAGGCCGAAGCUCUGCCUUUUCCUUACGUCCUGGAAACAGAUGAUCGCUGCAGCUUCCCUAAACUGAUUCUUGGGAAGACCUACUUCUUUAACAAAGUUAAUGUUUUCACUGAUUUCAAUCAUGACUCUGUUCUUCAGUCACUCCAUUUCAUUAUUUCCAAAUGUUCACCUUAGGUCACCAUUGGCUGAUUUAUACAUGGGCAGUCCUGAUGAGUUACUCUAUUCUCUGACAAAGUACUAAUUUUGUAUUUUUAUUUUGUGCUUGCAAUAUUGGGUUUUUCACUCUCUUGAAUGUAUUACAUAUUACUGCAUUGUUAUACAUUGGUCUGUUAGCAAUAGUGAUGCUAUCCUAAAAAGACAUACCUAAUCUGUCCUUUGUUUUUUGUGUAUUAUUAGAGCCAUUAGUAAUGGUUGAUUCUCACAAUUAAAUCAAAAAACUCCUUAUGUACCGUCUGUAACCGUAAUGUCUUUACCUGAUUUAGAAACAGUAAUGCAUUACAGAAAAAUGCCAUUACAGAAUGCAUUAUUUUUAAAUUGUUACACUUAACACUGCUUACUUAUGCAUUUAAAAUAAUUACAUACAUAAUAUUACUAAAACUGCAGCAUCAGUUACAUGUGACUCUGCACAUAACUAGUCAAACCCUGCCAUUCCUCCACUCUCAGAAAAUCUGUUCACUGAGAUGACUAAGUAAAAUUUUUGAAAUCACUGAGAACAUUGUAGCUUUUUACUGAAAUAUUUACUGAGUUUCACAUUGUACUCACUCACAUAACUUAAGACAGUUAUUACUACUGUGACACAGCCCAGUUGUAUUUAAGUAUACAGUGUAUGCAAUAAUACGAUGAAACUAUUAACUUCAGAAGUCUAAAAAAAAAAAAAAAACUUAAGUUUCUUCUUGAUUCUUGUUAGCAUGGAAUCAACAGUUGCUGACUUCUUACAGCACUAUAAAAUGUAGCUUCAUAAAAUAUUAGCAUAUGGCUCAUUUUUUAUUUUUAAGCUAUUUUCUUGCACUGAAACAAAUUAUAAUACAUAAUUUAAAAAAUGUUUGACCUUGACCCACAUAAUCAAAUGUAUGCAUAUACUGUAAAUGGCAUAAUUUAUUUUGAUAGCUAAAGCUAGUGAAUGUUAACCACUGAGUUGCCAAUGCCAUGAAUGCUACUAUGCUGUACCACCCAGAGGUCCCACUGAAAAGACCAUGAAAGUAUUUUCUUUUCAUAAACAGCUGUUUUUAUUCUUACUUUUUCUAUUGGAAUGUAAUUUCUAUAAGGCCUCAGUGCACAGACACAGUAGUGGUGAUGGCAGAUGUUUGGGCUUUGUAGUACUGUCUCGAUACUGCAUGUUUGACUUUGCAUGUUUGUGUUUAUUUUGUGGCCUAAUGUUCUUAUGAUUUAAGCUUUAAAUAAAUAACAUAUUUUGCUUUA